AGUAUAAAAAAAUUUGUUUUCCUUUUGACACAUUAUUCCCACUUUAAAAUAUGGCUUAACAGGUUUUCCUCUACAUUUCCAUUAGUGCCUUUAUUCAUCACUUCCCCUAACCUCUCUAAUCUCCACCAACUACACCACAAAUCUCAUCCAAUCUUCUCUUUGUCCAAAAUCAUAUUGGAAUUUCUUGCAUCUACUCUUCCAACGGUGAAAAGAUAAGCACAGAGUGAACACCUAUAUCGUUAUAUUUGUAGCCAAAAAUGUUUGCCACUAGAUUUUAGAGCUCUGGCCUAGAGUGCUCGAUUUCGACGAUCGAACAGUGGUGAAGACAUCCUCGAUCUCCGAAAAUUUUGAAGUCUACAAUAAUUUUUUUUUCCUAUUUCCUUAUUUUUCGUCUGUUCUUACUAGUUCUCCUUCACUGUUUUCAAGUGAGAAAUAAAAAUCAUAUGCUCGAAAUAGUUACACCUUCUGAUUCAUGUCGUUCGAUUACGAUUCGAUUAGUC
rnacentral:lncRNA from 1 species